ensembl:lncRNA LINC03076 long intergenic non-protein coding RNA 3076
ACUCCAGUCCUCUCCACCCCAAGCUCUAUGCAACUCAUUUUCAUCUAGCAUUACCUCUCCAAAACCUGAAUCUCCACAAGAAAGCCACACAGCAAUUAACCAGUGUUGCAAGAACUGCUUCUGUAAUAAAGGUGGGAAGACAAAUUGAUGCAACCCUCUUGAAAAGCAAUCUGGCAAUAUGAACCAAGAGCCAUGAAAAGGCUUAUGCUAUUAUAAUUAAAUGGCUGUAAUGUUGGCUGUAAAUAUGAAAUUUUCUUUCACACACCAAUGUUUUCAAGAAUGGCAUAUUCACAUGCAGUAUGUGAUGAAAGAAGCAGUAAAGGAUGCUAACAAAGCUAUUUCUUUGGACAAUCUGAACCUGACGGAGUCUUACUCUGUCGCCCAGGCAGGAGUGCAAUGGCACAAUCUUGGCUCACCACAACCUCCGCCUCCUGGGUUCAAGUGACUCUCCUGCCUGGCCAUAGAAGCAAACACAAACAUAGAGGAAUUGGCUUUGGGCAGAUGGAAGGACCUCAGAGAAAAGAAACAAAGGAAAGAAAACUGGAUGGAUAAAGUUAUUGCUGGUGAAAAGGAUGUUUAAGCAGAGUGAGAGACUCUCAGCAAAAAAAGGUAACUGAAAGAGUGGUAAGUCAGACAAAGAAGAAAAAUGCCAAAGAAGAGGGUCAAGAACAACUCAUAUGACUCCGAAAUCCCUUACCCACAUUGGAGUUAUAAAAAGUUCAGGAGCUGGAGACAAAAGGCAGGUUCAUAAAGAGGAUUCCUUGGA